UACGUAGGGGGCAAGCGUUGUCCGGAAUCAUUGGGCGUAAAGCGCGUGUAGGCGGUUCGGUAAGUCCGCUGUGAAAGUCGGGGGCUCAACCCUCGGAUGCCGGUGGAUACUGUCGGGCUUGAGUACGGAAGAGGCGAGUGGAAUUCCUGGUGUAGCGGUGAAAUGCGCAGAUAUCAGGAGGAACACCAAUUGCGAAGGCAGCACUCUGGGACGUGACUGACGCUGAGACGCGAAAGCGUGGGGAGCAAACAGG
rnacentral:rRNA from 1 species